rnacentral:tRNA from 1 species
GCCUCGUUGGCUCAGUGGUAAAGCGCAUCACUAGUAACAGUCAUGAUGAGAUCACUGGUUCGAUUCCAGUACGAGGCA